rnacentral:rRNA from 1 species
CGAUGAAGCCCUUCGGGGUGGAUUAGUGGCGAACGGGUGAGUAACACGUGGGCAAUCUGCCCUGCACUCCGGGACAAGCCCUGGAAACGGGGUCUAAUACCGGAUACGAGCUCCCGCCGCAUGGCGGGGGCUGCAAAGCUCCGGCGGUGCAGGAUGAGCCCGCGGCCUAUCAGCUGGUUGGUGAGGUAACGGCUCACCAAGGCGACGACGGGUAGCCGGCCUGAGAGGGCGACCGGCCACACUGGGACUGAGACACGGCCCAGACUCCUACGGGAGGCAGCAGUGGGGAAUAUUGCACAAUGGGCGCAAGCCUGAUGCAGCGACGCCGCGUGAGGGAUGACGGCCUUCGGGUUGUAAACCUCUUUCAGCAGGGAAGAAGCGCAAGUGACGGUACCUGCAGAAGAAGCGCCGGCUAACUACGUGCCAGCAGCCGCGGUAAUACGUAGGGCGCAAGCGUUGUCCGGAAUUAUUGGGCGUAAAGAGCUCGUAGGCGGCCUGUCGCGUCGGUUGUGAAAGCCCGGGGCUUAACCCCGGGUCUGCAGUCGAUACGGGCAGGCUAGAGUUCGGUAGGGGAGAUCGGAAUUCCUGGUGUAGCGGUGAAAUGCGCAGAUAUCAGGAGGAACACCGGUGGCGAAGGCGGAUCUCUGGGCCGAUACUGACGCUGAGGAGCGAAAGCGUGGGGAGCGAACAGGAUUAGAUACCCUGGUAGUCCACGCCGUAAACGGUGGGCACUAGGUGUGGGCAACAUUCCACGUUGUCCGUGCCGCAGCUAACGCAUUAAGUGCCCCGCCUGGGGAGUAC